ACAUUAUUGAUGAAUUAUAACUUUGUCAUUAUCGAUACGCCACCAGUGAACACAGUUACAG
rnacentral:sRNA from 1 species